rnacentral:rRNA from 1 species
CGGGUGGAGCGGCGGACGGGUUAGUAACGCGUGGGAACAUACCCCUUUCUAUGGAAUAGCCUCGGGAAACUGAGAGUAAUACCAUAUACGCCCUUCGGGGGAAAGAUUUAUCGGUGAGGGAUUGGCCCGCGUAAGAUUAGAUAGUUGGUGGGGUAAUGGCCUACCAAGUCUACGAUCUUUAGCUGGUUUUAGAGGAUGAUCAGCAACACUGGGACUGAGACACGGCCCAGACUCCUACGGGAGGCAGCAGUGGGGAAUCUUAGACAAUGGGCGAAAGCCUGAUCUAGCCAUGCCGCGUGAGUGAUGAAGGUCUUAGGAUCGUAAAGCUCUUUCGCUAGGGAUGAUAAUGACAGUACCUAGUAAAGAAGCCCCGGCUAACUCCGUGCCAGCAGCCGCGGUAAUACGGAGGGGGCUAGCGUUGUUCGGAAUUACUGGGCGUAAAGCGUACGUAGGCGGAUCAGAAAGUAUGGGGUGAAAUCCCAGGGCUUAACCCUGGAACUGCCUCAUAAACUCCUGGUCUUGAGUUCGAGAGAGGUAAGUGGAAUUCCAAGUGUAGAGGUGAAAUUCGUAGAUAUUUGGAGGAACACCAGUGGCGAAGGCGGCUUACUGGCUCGAUACUGACGCUGAGGUACGAAAGUGUGGGGAGCAAACAGGAUUAGAUACCCUGGUAGUCCACACCGUAAACGAUGAAUGCCAGUCG